rnacentral:tRNA from 1 species
UCCCUGGUGGUCCAGUGGUUAAGACUCUGAGCUCCCAGUGCAGUGAGCCUGGGUUCAGUCCCUGGUCAGGGAA